rnacentral:rRNA from 1 species
GUGAGUAAUACAUGGGUAACUUACCUCCAAGACAUGAAUAACGGGCCGAAAGGCCCGCUAAUACAGGAUAUGACCAUAGGUACAUAUGUAUCAGUGGUAAAAGGUGGGGAUCCGCAAGGACCUUCCACUUGGAGAGGGGCCCAUGUCCUAUCAGCUAGUUGGUGAGGUAAUGGCUCACCAAGGCUAAUACGGGUAGCUGGCCUGAGAGGGUGGUCAGCCACACUGGGACUGAGACACUGCCCAGACUCCUACGGGAGGCUGCAGUCGAGGAUGUUUAGCAAUGGGCGAAAGCCUGACUAUGCGACGCCGCGUGCGCGAUGAAGGCUUUCGGGUUGUAAAGCGCUGUCGGGCGGAAUGAAAGAUUGGUUGACCAAUAAUUAACCAGUUAGACAGUACCGUCGAAGGAAGCCACGGCUAACUCCGUGCCAGCAGCUGCGGUAAUACGGAGGUGGCAAGCGUUGUUCGGAUUUAUUGGGCGUAAAGGGCAUGUAGGUGAUUGCAAAAGUCAAGUGUGAAAUCCCUCGACUCAAUCGGGGAAUUGCAUUUGAAACUUUGUAAUUUGAGUGCAAUGGGGGAGACUGGAAUUCCCGGUGUAAGGGUGAAAUCUGUAGAUAUCGGGAGGAACACCUGUAGCGAAGGCGAGUCUCUAUGUUGCAACUGACACUGAAAUGCGAAAGCGUGGGGAGCAAACAGGAUUAGAUACCCU